rnacentral:tRNA from 1 species
GCGAAAGUGGUGGAAUUUGGCAUACACGUUGGAUUUAGAUUCCAAUGAGAUAUAUUUCUCUUGAGAGUUCGAGUCUCUCCUUUCGCA